UGGGAUUAGAUACCCCACUAUGCUCAGCCGUAAACUUUAAAUUACACCAAAAUCGCCGGGGAACUACGAGCAAAGCUUAAAACCCAAAGGACUUGACGGUACCCCACAUCCACCUAGAGGAGCCUGUCCUAUAAUCGAUACCCCCCGCUUAACCUCACCACUUUUAGCCAAAUCAGCCUGUAUACCUCCGUCGUCAGCUUACCACGUGAGCGCAACUCAGUGAGCCCAAUGCCCACACGCCAAUACGUCAGGUCAAGGUGCAGCAAAUAAAGUGGAAAGAGAUGGGCUACACUCUCUAACAUAGAAAACACAGAAGACUACCUAUGAAACCUAGUCUAAAGGCGGAUUUAGAAGUAAAAAGAAAGCACGAGCGUUCUUUUUAACACGGCACCGGGGUGUGUACACACCGCC
rnacentral:rRNA from 1 species